UACUGGGUAGAAUUUUGUAUUGCUUUUUGUUUGAAUGACAUUUGGCUCUUAGGAAUUUCCUAUGAGAAAUGUGCUGCCUUUGAUAAGACAAAUACUGAGAAGAAACCAGAAGGCUGUUGAUCUAUUGCUGCAUAUGAGUUUACUGAAAUAACCCUUCCACCUUGUCAUUCCGUGGCUUCCCCAUGUUCUUCCUUCACAAAUUUCUCGUCUUUCUCCAUUCAUUUCCCCUCGUGGAAACCCUCUGCUCACACCUACACAAGCAAACAUAUGGACUGAAGGAUCAAAUUUUCUUAUCAGGUUCAUUCCCACCCCUGAUUCGGGUCUCAAUUUUAAGAAAUUCAACAUGAACCGUUCAUGUCAGCCUCCAAGGAACACCACUCAAGGAUGAGUGAGGUGCUGGGCACAGAGGGAUGAAUUAGGGGAUGAAGCAGAGUUCCUGCUCCCAGGAAACUCACAAUACGGUGAUGUCCUGUGGAAAGUGAAAUCCAGAGAGAUCAAAUGAUUUUCUUGUGAGACUGCACUGAUUUUAAACCACAGAAGUAGGACUACAGUGAACUCAACCUCCACCACGUACACGAUUCCUCUCACUGAUUUACAUGAUGUCCAUAUGUGUAUAAGGAAUUUAUAUAUAUCUGAAUUUCUCUUAAAAAAAAAAAGUGGUAUCAAAAAUUGGACUCAUCCCUUCGAGUGGGUUCAAAAUAUGGUAGAAUUCUGAUAGUCUGCUGACUAUUGGAUGCUACAUUUCUCUAAGUGCCAACAAAGACUCCCCUUUUGCAUUUUGAUGGUGUCUCUUCUCAGUGGUGAUUUUUCGUAAGCACAUGCAUUUAUGCUGGCAAUGCUAGCAAGCCAGUUCUCCUCUUUCUGUAUCCUGUGUGCGUGUGUGUGUGUGUGUGUGUGUAUGUGUGUGUGUGUAUGUAUGUAGAGAGAGAGCACAAGCAGGGGAAAAGGCAGAGGGAGAGGAAGAAGCAGACUCCCCGCCAAGUAGGGUGCCCAAUGCGGAGCUCUAUCCCAGGACCUGGAGAUCAUGACCUGAGCCCAAGGCAGAUGCCCAACCUUCUGACCCAGGCAGGUACCCCAACUGUAUCAUGUGUUUAAUUUGUGAAAUUGCAUUCAAACCUCAGGGCAUCAGAGUGUCGGAGGAUAAAGUUGCUUUAGUAAUUUAUAUCACUAAGGAAAAAGAAAGUGAAUUAUACUGUAAAAAUGAAGACCUUUCCAAUUAGUGUAUAAUCUAAGCCUUAACUGCCUACUAAAAACAUUUUUCUCACAGUGUCGAAAACUUUUCCAAAGGUUUUCCAUUUUAAGUAGAACUUUUCAGGUACAGAUGCGUUCUGAACCACAUUCUUUCUGGCUGGAGGACCCCAGCAUUCUAACUGUCCCAUGAGACACUUCACAUCUUGGCAAAAACUGAAACAUACCAGAAUUUUUAGGGAAAAUAGUUCUAAAACUGUCUUACAAGGCCAAUGCUACAUCUAUAUAUGAGCAAGCUUUAAUGGUCUUUGAAAGCAUGGGUUCGUUUCUGUAAGACACUUAAUUGUUUCAGAUCGUUUGUUCACCUAACACAGAAUUUUAAGAGGGCUUACAAUAUCUGAGUGGUAUCAACUUAUUCUUUCUCUAUUUGUGGUCCAUAAUGAUAAUAAACAAAUAACAGUGUUCUCAUUCUAAGAAAUGCAGGUCCCGGGCAGCCAAUGAAUCCUCACUAUUUUAUUACCUAAAAGGAAAGUUGGCUCAUUUAUUCCAGAUUAAUCAGGUAGCUUUGUUUUUCUGUUUUCUAUAUUAAUCACAUCUUUCUUAAAGAAUGCGAUCUUGAAACAUACAUGCACACAAAGCAGAGUCUCUUCAUCUGUAAGAGAAAGGAAAAAAAAACCUGUUAAGGACAGUAUUACAGGUUUCGGGCCUAAGCAUAGCUAUUUUAAAAACAUAUGGAAACACAAAUGAGCAUUAGAAAAUUUAAUGCAAAUGUAAGAUAAUUUUUAUAAUUAUUUUCUGCAAUGCUUCACCUUUUGUAAUACGGUAAUAUAAGGGCGCUUGCUUUACUUUAAAAAACAAUGCAUUGUGUAUAAAGCAGAAAGCAUGCAUAGCAGCUCUGUUUAGAAGAUAACAAAGUACCAUGUAAAAGGCCUCUGUGUACUUAGCCCACCCACCAACUCGAGGGAGAGCUUAAAAGAAAAAGGAGCGUCCAGUCCACGGAGCUGUUACCACAAUGUCAAGCCCGGGAUUUUAUUUUCUAAACAGUGCUCCCCAACUGGGGUCUUAGAGCAAUUACUCAAUACUUUUUUCAGGGAGGUACCUGAUUUGAAAAUUCAAUCCAACGUAAAUGUCCUUGGUUUUUGUUUUGUUUCUAAAAUGUGUUUCCCCUGACAGAAAGGGGUGAACUAGAUGAAGAGAUGGUAAGAAGCCAUCACUCUAUACCUUUUGCAUUCUGUGCUCUAACGUUCACAUUCUUUUGUUGUUUGUCUAUGGAAGAGAGGGUGCUGGAGGGAAUUUGGCCCCAGGUAAAAAAGACUAGAACAAGUUCCCUCAGCUUACACCUGACAGAGUGUAUGAUGAUCUAGUUUUUCUGACUUUCUGACUUUUCUGACUUUUGGGUUUCUGCUUUCUCUGUUAAACAACACUGGGUACAUAAUAUUGUAUUUUGUCA